rnacentral:rRNA from 1 species
GGAGGGGGCAAGCGUUAUUCGGAAUUAUUGGGCGUAAAGGGCGUGUAGGCGGCUUGAUAAGUCAAAGGUGAAAUCCCUCGGCUCAACCGAGGAACUGCCUUUGAAACUGUCUGGCUAGAGGCCGGGAGAGGGUAGCGGAAUUCCCAGUGUAGCGGUGAAAUGCGUAGAUAUUGGGAGGAACACCAGUGGCGAAGGCGGCUACCUGGACCGGUUCUGACGCUGAGGCGCGAAAGCGUGGGGAGCAAACAGGAUUAGAUACCCUGGGUAGUCCACGCUGUAAACGAUGGGCACUCGGUGCUGCGGGUAUCGACCCCCCUGCGGUGCCUUAGCUAACGCGUUAAGUGCCCCGCCUGGGGAGUACGGUCGCAAGGCUG